GUGGGGAAUAUUGGACAAUGGGCGGAAGCCUGAUCCAGCCAUGCCGCGUGUGUGAAGAAGGCCUUUUGGUUGUAAAGCACUUUAAGCGAGGAGGAGGCUCUUAAGGUUAAUACCCUUGAUGAGUGGACGUUACUCGCAGAAUAAGCACCGGCUAACUCUGUGCCAGCAGCCGCGGUAAUACAGAGGGUGCGAGCGUUAAUCGGAUUUACUGGGCGUAAAGCGUGCGUAGGCGGCUGAUUAAGUCGGAUGUGAAAUCCCUGAGCUUAACUUAGGAAUUGCAUUCGAUACUGGUCAGCUAGAGUAUGGGAGAGGAUGGUAGAAUUCCAGGUGUAGCGGUGAAAUGCGUAGAGAUCUGGAGGAAUACCGAUGGCGAAGGCAGCCAUCUGGCCUAAUACUGACGCUGAGGUACGAAAGCAUGGGGAGCAAACAGGAUUAGAAACCCCUGUAGUCC
rnacentral:rRNA from 1 species